UACGUAGGGGGCAAGCGUUGUCCGGAAUCAUUGGGCGUAAAGAGCGUGUAGGCGGCCAGAUAAGUCCGCUGUGAAAUCUCGAGGCUCAACUUCGAGCUGUCGGUGGAAACUGUCUGGCUAGAGUCCGGAAGAGGAGAAUGGAAUUCCUGGUGUAGCGGUGAAAUGCGCAGAUAUCAGGAAGAACACCCGUGGCGAAGGCGGUUCUCUGGGACGGUACUGACGCUGAGGCGCGAAAGCGUGGGGGAGCGAACAGG
rnacentral:rRNA from 1 species